UCCNCAGUGGCUGCUGAUGGGAGCUCUGG
rnacentral:piRNA from 1 species